AUGCUGUGGCUACUACCCCAGCACCUAAUCCACACAACCAGACAACAUCUGCACAAACUGAAGUUACUGAUGGAGCCAGUGAAGAUGCUGUGGACCGCCAAAGUGAUGAUGUGGUUGUAGCCACAACACCCGAUCACCACAACCAGACACAACAAUCAAUCCAGACACAACAAUCUGCCCAUACUUCAGCUGGUGGUGGUGCAAGUGAAGAUGCUGUGGCUACUACCCCACCACCUAAUCCACACAACCAGACAACUUCUGCACAAACUGAAGUUACAGGUGGUGCAAGUGAAGAUGCUGUGGCUACUACCCCACCACCUAAUCCACACAACCAGACAACUUCUGCACAAACUGAAGUUACAGAUGGAGCCAGUGGAAGAUGCUGUGGACCGCCAAAGUGAUGAUGUGGUUGUCACCCACAACACCCAAUCCCCACAACCAGACCACAUCUGCCCAUACUGAAGCUGGUGAUGGAGCAAGUGAAGAUGCUGUGGCUACCACCCCAACACCAAAUCCCCCAACUACAUCUGACCACACUGCAGCUACCGAUGACCCAAGUGAGGGUGCUGUGGCUGCCCAAACUGGAACUACUG
ensembl:lncRNA